CCUACGGGCGGCAGCAGUGGGGAAUAUUGGACAAUGGGGGCAACCCUGAUCCAGCCAUGCCGCGUGUGUGAAGAAGGCCCUCGGGUUGUAAAGCACUUUCAGUGAGGAAGAACGCCUGGUGGUUAAUACCCAUCAGGAAAGACAUCACUCACAGAAGAAGCACCGGCUAACUCCGUGCCAGCAGCCGCGGUAAUACGGAGGGUGCGAGCGUUAAUCGGAAUUACUGGGCGUAAAGCGCGCGUAGGUGGCUUGAUAAGCCGGUUGUGAAAGCCCCGGGCUCAACCUGGGAACGGCAUCCGGAACUGUCAAGCUAGAGUGCAGGCGAGGAAGGUAGAAUUCCCGGUGUAGCGGUGAAAUGCGUAGAGAUCGGGAGGAAUACCAGUGGCGAAGGCGGCCUUCUGGACUGACACUGACACUGAGGUGCGAAAGCGUGGGUAGCAAACAGGAUUAGAUACCCGGGUAGUC
rnacentral:rRNA from 1 species